GCACUGGCGGCGAAGCGGGCAACGCAUGACGAGAGCGGCGGCCUGUUAUUCCGUAGGUCCCUGGUUCGAGCCCAGGUCGAUGAGCCA
rnacentral:tRNA from 1 species